rnacentral:rRNA from 1 species
GGGCCAGACUCCUACGGGAGGCAGCAGUGGGGGAUAUUGCACAAUGGGGGGAACCCUGAUGCAGCGACGCCGCGUGGGUGAAGAAGCGCCUCGGCGCGUAAAGCCCUGUCAGCAGGGAAGAAAAUGACGGUACCUGACUAAGAAGCCCCGGCUAACUACGUGCCAGCAGCCGCGGUAAUACGUAGGGGGCGAGCGUUAUCCGGAUUUACUGGGUGUAAAGGGGGCGCAGACGGCAGCGCAAGCCAGGAGUGAAAGCCCGGGGCCCAACCCCGGGACUGCUCUUGGAACUGCGCGGCUGGAGUGCAGGAGGGGCAGGCGGAAUUCCUGGUGUAGCGGUGAAAUGCGUAGAUAUCAGGAGGAACACCGGCGGCGAAGGCGGCCUGCUGGACCGUGACUGACGUUGAGGCUCGAGAGCGUGGGGAGCAAACAGGAUUAGAUACCCCUGUA